UUUUUGGGGAGUUUUUCCUGUGCCGAUGGUGGGUUUCGGGGCAGAGGAUGUCGUAUGUGUACAGACUGUAAAGCCCUCUGAGGCAAAUUUGUAAUUUGCGAUUCUGGGCUAUACAAAAUAAAAUGACUUGACUUGACUUUUUUAUCUUAAUUAUUUGCAUUGUAUACAUUUCCAGAGUUUAACUGUCAUCAUAAAGUGGUGCAUUUGGCACAUUUCACAAAUUGAUUUGGGAUUAAAGGGAAACAUGUUAGGAGCUGCGAAUAAUCUAACUACUCUUAUCAUCAAGGUCCAGAAAACAGCGCUUCAAUCCAAUCAUGAUGCACGUGUCUGAUGGUUGGGAGGUGCAAGACACAAAUUCCCAUGUGGUGAUGGGUGAGGAUAGUACCCAACUUUUUCUUUUCUGAUGUGCUGUUUGCUUAAUGAUAAUCUGUCUGUAUCGGUCUGUGGUAUCACCAGAAUUGUCGAUAAUUUGACUUACUUUUCAAAAUAACUUUGGAUUUUCCAGUUUACCUGCACAUUGUUUCCCAUUAUACUCAGAAUCAAUGUCCUACUCAUUUAUUCCUCUUCACAAACAUAUUAGGGGCCUGAAAAGCUGUGAGUAAAAUGGCUGAUUUUCCGAUUUUUGAGGCUCUAACGUGUGAGAAAAUACUGUGGGUGUAGCAUCAUAAUUAAUUUCAACUUUCCAAAGGGAGUUUACUCUGAAAGGGACACGUUUUCUUUUGUUGUUUUUGUACACACAAUUUAGAAAAAGAAUAAAUCUUGAAAAAAGCAGUUGAAAAAAAAAAUUAAUUAACUUUCUAAAGCCUUGUCAGAUCCAAGGAUUUUGGUUAUUCAUUUCUUAUCUUUGGUUUAUUUGUUUGGAAAACAGCUGACAUGCUGGCCCUGUGUUAAGCAUGUUAUUUUAAUGUAUUUUUUGUCAUUUCAAUACAUUACAUACAUUGACAUUUUUGUACUCCUCUCUCAUCAGCCAUCCAGUGUAUUUUUCUUUCCCUGUCAUGACCAGGCACUGCGGUUCCAAACAUUAUCUGUUCAUCUUGUUGUACAUAAGCGAAGCUACAGUGUUACCAAACAAAGACAUGCUCAUGUUGGCCUACAUAAACACUGAUUGAAUUACUUAGCUACAAUGCACAACUGCUGUAUAAACAUUGUGGGAAUUAUGUAAGAUCUCCCUCCGCUCAUUCUGCAAAAAGAAAAGAAAAAACAAAUAGGGAUAUAAAGUAAUGUAUCGCAAACCAACGCCUCCCUCGGCUAAACAUGUUUUUGCUCAUAAGUGUUGCCAAGCCCAACAUAAACUUAUUUAUGGUGUGAGGACUGCUAUACCUAAGUGUCAUUUACUGGUGUAAAGUGCGCAGGUAAUUGCAAAUCAUAAGUAUAUUGUUAUGUUUUCCUAUCCCGAAAUUCUGGAAGUCGGAGGGGAAUUCUUGUACAACAAUAAUGUAAAUUAUAUUUUGUCGUAAAAGGCAGAUGGCGGGAAAGGUGGAGGUGAUGACAGAGCGGAUGGGGUCUGGGUGAAUAGCAGCGGGAUUGUCAAGAUCCUUGUCUGACCCGUUCUGUCUUUUGCCUCUGUUUCCCCCCCCCAAAGUCUCCUUCCCUCAUGUGUCUCUCAUCCCUGUUUGUUUUGUUUUGCCAUGUGCUCGUUGUCUGUGUGUUCUUGGUCCCACCUCCAGACGCCGCGGAGAUAUAAAAGUACAAGUGUAUUGAUGUUCUCUUCUUACAAGAAACUCACAGCGACAGCACCAACGAGGCCGACUGGAUGAGGGAGUGGGAAGGGGAAGUCCUCCUAAGCCACAAUACGAACCUCAGUGGAGGAGUGGGCUUCCUCUUCUCCAGGUCUUUUAAUCCAUUGUCACUGGAGGUCAAACACAUCAUCGAGGGGAGGUUGUUUUUAGUCAAGGCACGGUUCGACCUUUUUACUGUUGUUUUUAUCAAUGUGUAUGCUCCAACAAUCGGUGCAGAGAGGAAGCUGUCUUUACAAAAAAUUGAUAAUGUUUUAAAUGACUGUGCCCCGGAGGAUUUUUAAUUUUUUGGGGGGGGAUUUUAACUGUACGGAAAAUGACUUGAAAGGCUGUAAUCACGCAGAGCCACUUCCAGCUUCCCAGCGCGCUCUGAGGCAGCUGGUCCAGUCUCAUGGCCUGGUGGAUGUGUGGAGAAGGAUGCAUGCAGACUGCCGACAGUACACAUGGUCCCUUUCUAGAGAAGCACACCUUCAACGUCACCAGAGACAUCGGUAGAUCUAUGAAGGACCUGGAAACUGAGAUAGUGGAACUAGAACAUUUAAGCGAGUCCACAGGAGAUCGAGGACAUUUUGAAGUCCUCAAAGGGAAAAAAAAUGCUCUGGCCGACCUGUUUAACGUUAAAGUCCAGGGUGCACUGGUCAGGUCCCGAUUUCAGACCAUCACAGAGAUGGACACUCCCUUUAGCUUCUUCUUCGGCCUGGAGAAGAAGAGUGGGCAGGGGAGGGUGAUCCACUCACUGUUAGGUGACGCAGGGCAGCCGGUUGUGGAGCCAUGCCAGAUUAGGAGGCGAGCUGUGGCUUUCUUCUCCUCCCUAUAUACCAGUAAGUACGGGGAGGAGGAGGCACUGAUGGAGGAGUUCUGCAGUGAGCUGCCUCAGGUCCUGGAGGAGACAAAUGUAACUCUUGACAGGCCAAUAAGCCCAGGGGAGCUGAGGGCCACCUUGAUGGGCAUGCAGGGAGGGCGUGCCCCAGGAAUUUUACAAGGCAUUGUGGGAGAUCCUCGCAGAUGAUAUCCUAGAGGUGCUUAGUGAGAGUCUAACAGUUGUUAGUGUUAACAACUAUAUACAAAGUGAGGAUCUGCCCACACUUGGGUAAAGGCGGUUUAAAAAACUACAGCUCAGCUACACUCUCAUUGAUAUCGGCAGUUUGUUGUCGGAGUUGACGAGACAAUCCACUGAGAGCAUUCAGCAGUUUCUUCUCGUCUGUCUUCGGACUGGCAGAAAGUUGCUGACCGCGGAGAGGAGUUGAAGGCGAGACGUCGUCAAGCCAUUAUUCACGAACCAGCAAAAAACAAACAAAGGAACUGGAGAUACAGUUCUUCUGAAUAUACUGUUUGUAUGCUCAUCUUGCAUGUACUGCUGUCUGAGUCAUGCCUAUGACCUCUCACAUGAUUGGACGAGGAGUCUAUGGGUCCUCCAAUCACAUACGAGGUUAUUGUUAACGGAAGGACCAGUAUUUUAGGAAGACAUGGUUGGGACUUUUUCGUGCAAUGAAACAGCUGAUAUGCUUUAUGUAAAGCAGUGUUUUGGUGUCAGCAGAACGACUUUCCCUAGAAAACUGUACAGUGGUGCCUCUUUUUCCAUUCCACCAGACAAUCUUGGAUGAGUCUGACAUACAUGCAAUGUUGACAAUGUUUCAGCAGAUGUACCCUUGUGUCACUGAGGUUGAAUGUUUUGCCAUGACAUGUAAACGGGUAACAUAUAUAAAUGUAACUUACUCAAUCGAUAGAUGCAGAGCAUAAAGGUCAGCGUAUGUUUAUUUUAAGUGGAUCAAAGAUUUUUAUGGAAAGCCAAUAGAAGUUUGGGGCUUGCAGGGAACAGACACGUCAUACCCAGCAUCAUUUCUGCCAGUUGAGCGCAUUGCUAGAAGAUGUGUGGUUAAUACAUCCUCUGUGCAUUUAAGCAAGACCAAAGAAAAGGUCACUGUAGUCCUGCCACUAUGCACUGUAGCUCUAGGAGACUGUGAUCUCUGCAGACCCCUCAUUCUGAUUCAAAUGUUGUUUGCAUGGAAUGCUCAUUUUACCUUGAUUAAAACUCAUUUUUUAAAGAAGUUAUUUUGUAUAUCUUUUUUACAUAACAUUUGCCAUUGCUAAUGGCGUAUACAGUAAUCUAGCAUAUUUGAAUUAAAUAAAUCAAUUGAAGCUAAAAUGUAAGAGUCUAUAAUUAGGCUACUAAGCCUGAUCUAUUUGUACCAGAAAUUCUUACCUUUUAAAAAAAUGUCACCUGGGCUAAAACUCCCCCUGCAACCCUGAUCUGCAUUUGUAUAGCUCACAGCAUUUUCAUUUAGAUGUCAAAGCCUCCCCUAGAAUUAGGAGGAGGGGGGUUAUGGGGGGACAACUGCCAAGGGAGGCCCACGUCAAUUUCUGACAAUUUACGGCAGUUUUCGGUGUUGCCCACAAAUUGCCGUGAACAGCCGUAAACCUGAAAUUCCACGACAAUCUACAGUGCCGCAUACUGACGAAAAUCCCACUUUUCAUGCAGUGUUGGUUUUAAAUGCCUG
ensembl:lncRNA